GUUCCUGUGACGCAGCGGUUUAGCGUGUCGUUCUUAUACUGAUUGGGCAACCUAUCUGUAUGGUGAGAAAUGCGAAAGUCGUGAGUUCGAUCCUCACCAGGAACA